UAGGGGCUUAUUUGUGCAAUAGCCUUUUACAAAAAUCCAUAAGUCACUCUGCAAUACUCUCUUACCCUUCCUCUUCCUCACCAUCGCCUGCAUCGGCAUGCAACUGAAAAAGAACCUACCUCUUUUAUCUCCGCUCUCUGGAAAAUGAAAGGAUCUUCAUUAGUUUGGACUUCUCCCUCCUCCAUUUUCGGUAACAUGUGCAUUCGUCCCUUCGUGCCGGCGGCGGCGGCCAAGAAGUUAUAGCCUCUGCGUUCCAGUUGCAGAGCAGGGGCCUCUUCACAACCCUUCAUCCUCUGCUCCUUUUUCCCAGAUCCAUCAUCUAUAGUUUUCGGCGGUGGUCAGGGAGUUCUUGAAUGAUCCAGUUCUGCGGAGCUCUGGGUUUUGAUUUUUUUUCAUCCAAAAGCUCAUUUCUUCUUAUUGAAGGGGCAAAUUGACCCUUAGUCCGAUUGAAUACUGUAUUGAGUUAAAGAAUGAGGCUUUGCUCUCAGAGAAAGGUAGAUUGGAUUUUCUUGUAAGGUGGUUGCCUCCCCUCUCUGAAAGGUUGUGGAGCCGAUGAUUUCAUAAUCGCCUCCUUGUCUUUAUCAUGAAAUAAACCGCCUUACUUUUAGUGUUCAUGAUCAUAAACCCUCUGAGGUUUGAUCAUAAUUAUACUACUGAUCUCUUUCUUGCUCCUGCUGUUGCUUAAUAAUAGUAAUAAUAAUAAUAAUAAUAAUAAUAACUAUUAUGAGGGAAAAGGUACGGAUUUGCCCUCAUGAUCCUUCAUAUUAUAAAGAAUGAGGGUUUGCUCUUAGAGAGAGAAAGAAGGGUUCUAAGGGCGGUUGACUCCUCUCUUUCUAAUUAGCAGCGAAGCCUAUGAUUUCUUCUCUCUGUUUUUAUAUUACCAACAGCCCUUGAAAGAAGAAGAAGAAACAUAAUAUAUGAAUAAAUAAAUAAAUGGCACCUGGACUAGGCAAGUCUUUUCCCUAUAAAUGUAUAUGGGAAGUGGUGCAUUUUUGCCCCUCAUGUUUGUAGAGAUAUAGAGAGGCUAUGAAGAUAUGGUCGAAGUUGUGAAAUCAGAAUCGGAGAGAAAUUGCCUUUUUGCACGGCAGGGUAAAUCUUGAUGCUGGUCUGUGAAAUGAUGGUUUUGCCAUCACUUUCUUGGCUUUGCAUGUACGCAAGAAUUGCAGCUGUGAAAAUAUGGUGUUUCAUUUUACGUCGGAUUUUAGAAAGGCAAAAUCUGAGUCUCCUCUUCCACAUCUAUUUAGGAUUCGUUUGUUUCAUGGAAAGUAAGUUUUGUCUCAUUAUAUAAAUUAAUGUCUUUCAUGGUUGCAGCCAAAGUUAUUUCUCUCUCCACUUUUAUUUUAAUUCUCUCUUUUGCUUCCCUGUUAAUGGUCUUGCUUUUAAAAUUACUCUUCUCUACGUGCAUUACUUUGUUAAUCAAGUAGUUAUGGACGGCUGUUGUGUUCCAGUUGCAGAGCAAGGGUGGCUAUUCACAGUCAUCCAUCCUCUACCCCAUUUUCCCAUAUCCAUUGCUUUUAAUUUCCAGCUGUGAGUACUCAAACGAUCCAGCUUUUCGAAGCUCUGUAAUUUUUUCAAAUCAUUUUUUGUGAUUCAAAAGCUCAUUUCUUCCAAACCUCUGUUAUGUUAAAGAAUGGGGCUUUGCUCUCAGAGAAAGGUGGAUUGGAUGUUCUUACAAGGUGGUUGCCUCCCCUCUCUGAACGCCUGUAGAGCCAAUGAUUUGAAGAUGUGGUGUUUAUUACUAUAAACUCCCUGAGGUUUGGCCAUAAUUACACGAAGUGAUCUCUGUCUUGUUCUUGUUCUUGCUGUUGCUGUCACUGUUGUUUAGUAAUAAUAGAAAUAAUUAUUAUAACAACAGUAAUUAUAAGUGAAAAGGCUCAUAUGUGCCCCUAAUGUUUAUCCCA